rnacentral:rRNA from 1 species
UCUGGCUCAGGACGAACGCUGGCGGCGUGCUUAACACAUGCAAGUCGAACGGAAAGGUCUCUUCGGAGAUACUCGAGUGGCGAACGGGUGAGUAACACGUGGGUGAUCUGCCCUGCACUUCGGGAUAAGCCUGGGAAACUGGGUCUAAUACCGGAUAGGACCACGGGAUGCAUGUCUUGUGGUGGAAAGCGCUUUAGCGGUGUGGGAUGGGCAAA